rnacentral:misc_RNA from 1 species
CGGCCGGUGCGCCAUUUGGCGUCAGUAGCCAUGGCGAGAAUUAUGUCUAAAGGGGAUAAUAUUUCUAUAUACUCGAGAGCUAGCAGUCUCCAAGGGUUUCUUUCUCUGAUGGGAAGAAGAGCGAACCCCAGAAAGUUGCUGGUGCUGCACAAUGCUUGGGAGAAUUAUAUCAGCACUUUGGAAGAAGAAUUACAUCGGGAUUGCUUGAAACAACUAUUAUUGCAACCAAACUUAUGAAGUUUCAUGAGGAGUUUGUGAGACAAGAAGCUUUACUGAUGCUCC